rnacentral:rRNA from 1 species
CGCAUCUGUGCAUGCAGCAUAUCAAUAAGCGGAGGAAAAGAAACUAACAAGGAUUCCCUUAGUAACGGCGAGUGAAGCGGGAAGAGCUCAAAUUUGAAAUCUUCAAGGUUUUACCUUGACGAAUUGUAGUUUAAAGAAGUGUUUUCUGUUGAAGUUUUGGUAAAAGUUCUUUGGAAUAGGACAUCAUAGAGGGUGAGAAUCCCGUAUUUGACCAUUAUUUUCAGCUGUGUGAUACACUUUCAAAGAGUCGGAUUGUUUGGGAAUGCAGUCCAAAAUGGGUGGUAAAUUUCAUCUAAAGCUAAAUAUUGGCGAGAGACCGAUAGCGAACAAGUACCGUGAGGGAAAGAUGAAAAGAACUUUGAAAAGAGAGUUAAACAGUACGUGAAAUUGUCAAAAGGGAAGCGUUUGACACCAGUGUUGUUUUCUCGAAAAUCAAUUAAAAAGAGUUAGAUUUUGUUGUGUAUUGACCUUAACAGCUUGCAUUUCAAUUUUCUUGCUUUUUUUAAUGCACUUUUCGUUUAACAAGUCAACAUCAGUUUCUUUUGUUGUAAAAAGGUCAUUGGAAGGUGGCUUUCUUUUCGGAGAAAGUGUUUAUAGCCUUUGACUCCUGCAAUCGGAGAGACUGAGGUCUGCAGCGUAGAUCCUUCGGGGUUAGAUACAUUUGUGCUAAGUUAUAGCUUUUUAUAGACAACUUGUUGACUAUGAUUAGUCUUGUAGCUUACUCGCUUAUGCUAUUUUACCUACGCUUAGGAUGUUGACACACGCGCGUGCUC